CAGGGUAAGAAGAGAGGCAGAUGAAGUGAUGCACCCAUCAUGCCUAGUGCCUACUGAAUAAGCUUGUGAGAGCAGUUUAUGUUCUGGGGUUGUUGCAGGUCCAGGUUCAGCUAGGUUGUGUGUGGAACGGGCAUUUUCCAAGACAAAACCAGGAUUCGUUCGGCUCAAAUUGUGAAAGAGUGGUUCCAACAUAUUCUCACUCCCAGCGCGUCAAAAAAAAAAAAAACGCUUGGUCAGCCACCCUCCUCGUCAGACCCUUGACCCCAAAAGUGCCCUUUUUCGUCACUUAUGUGCGAAAAGGGGUUUUCCUCUUUUCUGACUGCAGAUUCCAAAGCAGCGUAAAACUGACGCGAUGGGAUAUCCACUGAUGCAGCACCGAACCAGCUCAUUUAACCGCACCUAAACCUUAACAUUUUGCUAUUUAUAACCUUCCCCUCGCCCUCAUCCUAACCUUAACCCUCUUGCUACCUAAAACGUUACUCUCACUGUGAUCAAGCGUCUGUUUCCCAUGCAUUCUGACUGUGAAUUUUCGUAUUAGCCGCCCAAGGGGAACGUUAGAACAUACCAUCUGGUGAGGAGGAGGUUACAAAUACCCUCUACUUUUAACCUCCGCCUUGGUAGUUGAAACCUCCCCCUCGCGUUGGCUCGGUCCAAACCCGACCAAUGACGAGGCGGAUCCCGCCGUUCACUUCAUAGAGCCGGCUUUGAGAGUGACCGACACAUCACUAACGUGUUCGCUAGCAAGAUGGUGAAGGUUCGGAUAGGGGUGAGGGGAAGGUUAAAUAAGAGGAUAAGGUUAGGGUGAGGUACAUUGAGCUUGUGUACUGCCCUGGCUGCGGACAUCCCAUCGCGUCAGUUUUACGCUGCAUUGGGAUCUGCAGUCAGAAAAGGGAAAAAAACCUUUUCGCACAUAAGUGACGAAAAAGGGCACUUUUGACUUCAGGGGACUGACGCAGAGGGUGGCUGACCAAGCGUCUGUUUUUGACACACUGGGAGUGAGAAUGGGUUGGUGGUUCGUGCAGCAUGAGACAUCGAUCUCACGUAUGGAUCGGCCAGUCUGGACUUUAACCCUACUGGGAAGCUUGUCUUUAGCAUGUGCUGGAAAAAGUCUUUGCACAUUAGUCUUCCGUCAUCAGUCCAAGAUCAGAAGCUCAUUGAAACAAUGCAUUAAUUGCUUGCUAUAAUCAAAGCUGAAGUUGGUCCAAAGAAAUAUUAAAUAACCUUUUUUAGGACAGUGUGGACACAUCCUGUGGUGUCACCCGCCAACAGUAUCGACCCGUGGAGUCAGCUGGAAAUGGGAACACCGGGUCGACGGAGACAUCCCUGGGCAUGUUGUGAUCUGUGGGGGAAACUGGAGUACCCGGAGAAAACCCACGCAUGCAUGGGGAAAACACGCAACUCCACGCAGAAAGGCGUUUUCUUUCUGCUCAAACAAGCAGAAAGUGCAACUGAAACUGAUUAGAAACAAAGUGCUGCUGCAUUUAGCAGCAAAUGAAACCCAGAACCAAGAGUGAUUUAUGAUUUUUGUCCAUGUCAGACAUACAUGGGCAAGACACAUGACAAGAAUUGGUGACUGUGGUCAUUCGCAACCCUGAGUCGCGCUACCUUAAUAGACAUCAGAGGGUUACAUGAGGAUUGGUUCAGGUGGAGGGAAAAAAAGGCACCAGAGUUACCCUCCAUAGGGAGGGCAGCUUUGCUCUGCAAAAAAAAACCCACCUCAGACAGAUAUGCAACAGACUCCAGACAACACACAACGUAAGUGUCCACUAGGUGGGGUGGUGGGUUUGGGACUAUCCCCACUUCAGUUCCUGCAGCCACGAUAAGCAGCGCAUGUCACCUCAGUGUGGAGGGGGUGGGGGUGGGGGGGGGGGUGCAUUGAGGGUUGGAGUGACCCUGGAACGAUUCAGCGGCCUUCCCGCAGUCCCGCCCAGGCUGGGAAAGGAGACAGAGUUGAGUUGCCAUAGCGACUACACAUUCCACAUGUCUUCUGAGUUAACCAAUUUGUCAUGUUUAAAAUUGUUUGUAAAAUAAAUUCUUACUUUUAUAAA